CCAAUAGCGUAUAUUAAAGUUGUUGCAGUUAAAAAGCUCGUAGUUGAAUUUCGGGGUUAGUAGGUUGGUCAUGCCUCUGGUAUGUACUGGUCUCACUGAUUCCUCCUUCCUGAUGAGCCGUAAUGCCAUUAAUUUGGUGUUGCGGGGAAUUUGGACUGUUACUUUGAAAAAAUUAGAGUGUUUAAAGCAAGCUAACGCUUGAAUACAUUAGCAUGGAAUAAUGAAAUAGGACGUUCGAUCCUAUUUUGUUGGUUUCUAGGAUUGACGUAAUGAUUAAUAG
rnacentral:rRNA from 1 species